rnacentral:tRNA from 1 species
GCCCAGUUAGCUUAGUUGGUAGUGCGUCUGCCUUGUAAGCGCUAGCGCUAGGCCGUGGGUUCGAUUCCCGCCCGGGGUG